AUGAACGCUAGCGGCAGGCUUAACACAUGCAAGUCGAGGGGCAGCAUAAUGGAUAGCAAUAUCUAUGGUGGCGACCGGCGCACGGGUGCGUAACGCGUAUGCAACCUACCUUUAACAGGGGGAUAACACUGAGAAAUUGGUACUAAUACCCCAUAAUAUCAUAGAAGGCAUCUUUUAUGGUUGAAAAUUCCGAUGGUUAGAGAUGGGCAUGCGUUGUAUUAGCUAGUUGGUGGGGUAACGGCUCACCAAGGCGACGAUACAUAGGGGGACUGAGAGGUUAACCCCCCACACUGGUACUGAGACACGGACCAGACUCCUACGGGAGGCAGCAGUGAGGAAUAUUGGUCAAUGGACGCAAGUCUGAACCAGCCAUGCCGCGUGCAGGAUGACGGCUCUAUGAGUUGUAAACUGCUUUUGUACGAGGGUAAACGCAGAUACGUGUAUCUGUCUGAAAGUAUCGUACGAAUAAGGAUCGGCUAACUCCGUGCCAGCAGCCGCGGUAAUACGGAGGAUUCAAGCGUUAUCCGGAUUUAUUGGGUUUAAAGGGUGCGUAGGCGGUUUGAUAAGUUAGAGGUGAAAUUUCGGGGCUCAACCCUGAACGUGCCUCUAAUACUGUUGAGCUAGAGAGUAGUUGCGGUAGGCGGAAUGUAUGGUGUAGCGGUGAAAUGCUUAGAGAUCAUACAGAACACCGAUUGCGAAGGCAGCUUACCAAACUAUAUCUGACGUUGAGGCACGAAAGCGUGGGGAGCAAACAGGAUUAGAUACCCUGGUAGUCCACGCAGUAAACGAUGAUAACUCGUUGUCGGCGAUACACAGUCGGUGACUAAGCGAAAGCGAUAAGUUAUCCACCUGGGGAGUACGUUCGCAAGAAUGAAACUCAAAGGAAUUGACGGGGGCCCGCACAAGCGGUGGAGCAUGUGGUUUAAUUCGAAGCAACGCGAAGAACCUUACCAAGUCUUGACAUCCUUCUGACCGGACAGUAAUGUGUCCUUUCCUUCGGGACAGAAGAGACAGGUGGUGCAUGGUUGUCGUCAGCUCGUGUCGUGAGAUGUUGGGUUAAGUCCCGCAACGAGCGCAACCCUUAUGGUCAGUUACUACGCAAGAGGACUCUGGCCAGACUGCCGUUGACAAAACGGAGGAAGGUGGGGAUGACGUCAAAUCAUCAUGCCCUUUAUGUCCUGGGCUACACACGUACUACAAUGGCUGUAACAGAGGGAAGCGAACCAGCGAUGGUAAGCGGAACCCAAAAAGCAGUCCAAGUUCGGAUUGAAGGCUGAAAUUCGCCUUCAUGAAGCCGGAAUUGCUAGUAAUGGCAGGUCAGCAUACUGCCGUGAAUACGUUCCCGGGCCUUGUACACACCGCCCGUCAAGCCAUGGGAGCCGGGGGUGCCUGAAGUUCGUGACCGCAAGGAGCGACCUAGGGCAAAACUGGUGACUGGGGCU
rnacentral:rRNA from 1 species